rnacentral:rRNA from 1 species
AUACGUAGGGUGCAAGCGUUAAUCGGAAUUACUGGGCGUAAAGCGUGCGCAGGCGGUUUUGUAAGAAAGUGGUGAAAUCCCCGGGCUCGACCUGGGAACUGCCAUUGUGGCUGCAAGGCUGGAGUGUGGCAGAGGGGGGUGGAAUUCUGCGUGUAGCAGGGAAAUGCGUAGAUAUGCGGAGGAACACCGAUGGCGAAGGCAAUCCCCUGGGCCUGCACUGACGCUCAUGCACGAAAGCGUGGGGAGCAAACAGGAUUAGAUACCCUGGUAGUCCACGCCCUAAACGAUGUCAACUGGUUGUUGGGGAUUUAUUUUCUCAGUAACGAAGCUAACGCGUGAAGUUGACCGCCUGGGGAGUACGGCCGCAAGGUUAAAACUCAAAUGAAUUGGCGGGG